CUGCCAUCUGAGUGAUUUUUCAAUACUUCCCCUCACUAAUUAGUUUUGCAGAGCAUUGCCAGGUGGCCUGUUCACCUUUCUCAGGACUCUUGAGGGUAUCUGAAAACCCAGCAAUCGUACAACAAAGAAUUUGACAGAAUGCCAUAAAACACGUUUCAGACAUUGUAUGGGUAGCCCACAUAAAGAGAUUACAAAUCUUUGGGCAAAAUGGAUCAUCUCAGCCUUGUUGAUGUCCCCUGUCUUUUAGGUUUGGACCCCCGGGUUUUCUGGCUCUCACCGGGAGUGCUGGGAAGUGCUGUGUCUGUGAAUCAGUUAGGAACAUUCUCUCACUUCUACUUCUAAAGGGCUCUUCUCUGCCGGUUCCAGUUAGAUCCCUUGGUCGCUUGGUGAGCUUCAUAUCCCGCAGCAAAUUCUGUCUGCUCUGCAUACUGCAUACAGUGACUUGCACAACACCAAGUUGCUCUCAAAUGGCCCUUGAAGGGUUGAGAAACUCGGCAAUUUUCUUUGGGAGUUGGUGUCUUGUCUCUCAUCUUGCCCUUCUCUUAUUUCUUCGUGUCUUCUUUAGAGAUUUAUCACUGGGCAUAUAUAUCCCUAUGGACAUGGCAAUAUUUUCCAGAGAGCCUGGUUACUUGCUUUCUUUCAAGCAUGCUUUGUGCUUUCCUUCUCCAUUAAUUUCUUCAUGAGAGUUUUGAGCAGGGAAAACCUUUAUUCCUUUUUACCUACAUCUUAGUCAUGUCUCACUUCCCUCCAUUUCUCUCCCUUCUCAGAAACUUUUCCACAGCAUUCUAACUCUAACUCAUUGUGACAUCAUUCUUAUUUCAGUUCCCAAAAUUUCUUAUGGCCAUU
rnacentral:lncRNA from 1 species